rnacentral:misc_RNA from 1 species
UUUCCGUAGGUGAACCUGCGGAAGGAUCAUUAAAAAAUUGGACUCCAUGGUGAGUUCAUUAAUAAUCCCUACCCUUUGUGAAUUUGUUUGUUUGAAUAAUUUUUUUCCAAAAAAAAUUAUUGAAUGUCUUUCCUUGUUUUGGUGGAGCUUGUAAAGUGAAACCAGGCAGGGGAAUGGCAAACAAUAAUUAUUUUUGAAAAAGACCUUUUUUUAAAAUUAAACUUUUGUAUUCAUUUGUCUAAAAUUAAUUUUUAUAAUAUAAAACAACUUUUGACAAUGGAUCUCUUGGUUCUCGCAACGAUGAAGAACGCAGCAAAAUGCGAUAAGUAGUGUGAAUUGCAGAAUACGUGAAUCAUCGAAUCUUCGAACGCAUAUUGCACUUUUUUAGUUUACUAAAAAAGUAUGUCUGUUUGAGUAUCAGUAAAAUAUUCUCAUAAAAAACAUUGUUUUUUUUAUGGUUAUGAGUGUUUUACAACGAUAACAAGUUGUUUCACUUUAAAUUCUUUGUUAUCAAAAAAAUCAUUAAAAGCUAAUUUUAAAGAUUUUUUAAAAUUGGAUAAAAUUUUCCCGUAAAAAGGAAUAACCUAAACAAUUUUAAAAAUUAAAAUUGGUUUGAUUUUUUUGAAACCCAAAGGAAAAAAAAACGAAAUUAACUUGAUCUCAAAUCAGAUAAGAGUACCGCUGAACUUAAGCAUAUCAAUAAGCGGAGGAAAAGAACUAACUAGGAUUCCCUCAGUAACGGCGAGUGAAGCGGGAAGAGCUCAAAUUUGAAAUCUUCAAGGUUUUACCUUGACGAAUUGUAGUUUAAAGAAGUGUUUUCUGUUGGAGUUUUGGUAAAGUUCUUUGGAAAAGGACAUCAUAGAGGGUGAGAAUCCCGUAUUUGACCAUUAUCUCCAGCUUUGUGAUACACUUUCAAAGAGUCGGAUUGUUUGGGAAUGCAGUCCAAAAUGGGUGGUAAAUUUCAUCUAAAGCUAAAUACUGGCGAGAGACCGAUAGCGAACAAGUACCGUGAGGGAAAGAUGAAAAGAACUUUGAAAAGAGAGUUAAACAGUACGUGAAAUUGUCAAAAGGGAAGCGUUUGACACCAGUGUUGUUUUCUCGAAAAUCAAUUAAAAAAGGCCGGAUUUUGUGUUGUAUUGACUUUAUCAGCUUUCUGCACUCUUUUCUUGUCUUUUUUAAUGCACUUUUCGUUUAACAAGUCAACAUCAAUUUCUUUUGUUGUAAAAGGGUCAUUGGAAGGUGGCUUUCUUUUCGGAGAAAGUGUUUAUAGCCUUUGGCCUCUGCAAUCGGAGAGGUUGAGGUCUGCAGCGUAGAUCCUUCGGGUUAGAUACAUUUGUGCUAAGUUAUAGCCUUUCAUAGACAACUUGUUGACUAUGAUCAGUCAUGUAGCUUACUCGCUUAUGCUAUUUUACCUACGCUUAGGAUGUUGAG